UACGGAGGGGGCUAGCGUUGUUAGGAAUUACUGGGCGUAAAGGGCCCGUAGGCGGGCUGUUAAGUCGGGGGUGAAAUCCUGAGGCUCAACCUCAGAAUUGCCUCCGAUACUGGCGGCCUCGAGUGCGGGAGAGGUGAGUGGAAUUCCCAGUGUAGAGGUGAAAUUCGUAGAUAUUCGGAGGAACACCAGUGGCGAGGGCGGCUCACUGGCCCGAAACUGACGCUGAGGUGCGAAAGCGUGGGGAGCAAACAGG
rnacentral:misc_RNA from 1 species